CACGGUCUCCCUCUCAUGCGGAGCCGAAGCUGGACUGUACUGCUGCCAUCUCGGCUCACUGCAACCUCCCUGCCUGAUUCUCCUGCCUCAGCCUGCCCAGUGCCUGCAAUGGCGCCGCCACGCCUGACUGGUUUUGGUGGAGACGGGGUUUCGCUGUGUUGGCCGGGCCGGUCUCCAGCCCCUAACCGCGAGUGAUCCCGCCAACCUCAGCCUCCCGAGGUGCCGGGAUUGCAGACGGAGUCUCGUUCACUCAGUGCUCAAUGGUGCCCAGGCUGGAGUGCAGUGGCGUGAUCUCGGCUCACUACAACCUACACCUCCCAGCCGCCUGCCUUGGCCUCCCAAAGUGCCGAGAUUGCAGCCUCUGCCCGGCCGCCACCCCGUCUGGGAAGUGAGGAGCCUCUCUGCCUGGCCGCCCAUCGUCUGGGAUGUGAGGAGCCCCUCUGCCUGGCUGCCCAGUCUGGAAAGUGAGGAGCGUCUCCGCCCGGCCGCCAUCCCAUCUAGGAAGUGAGGAGCGCCUCUUCCCAGCCGCCAUCACAUCUAGGAAGUGAGGAGCGUCUCUGCCCGGCCGCCCAUCGUCUGAGAUGUGGGGAGCGCCUCUGCCCCGCCGCCCCAUCUGGGAUGUGAGGAGUGCCUCUGCCCGGCUGAGACCCCGUCUGGGAGGUGAGGAGCGUCUCUGCCCGGCCGCCCCGUCUGAGAAGUGAGGAGACCCUCUGCCUGGCAACCACCCCGUCUGAGAAGUGAGGAGCCCCUCCGCCCGGCAGCUGCCCCGUCUGAGAAGUGAGGAGCCUCUCCGCCCGGCAGCCACCCCAUCUGGGAAGUGAGGAGCAUCUCCGCCCAGCAGCCACCCCGUCCGGGAGGGAGGUGGGAGGGGGUCAACCCCCCGCCCGGCCAGCCGCCCCAUCUGGGAGGGAGGUGGGGGGUCAGCCCCCCCGACCGGCCAGCCGUGCCAUCCGGGAGGGAGGUGGGGGGGUCAGCCCCCCGCCCGGCCAGCCGCCCCGUCCGGGAGGUGAGGGGUGCCUCUGCCCGGCCGCCCCUACUGGGAAGUGAGGAGCCCCUCAGCCCGGCCAGCCACCCCGUCCGGGAGGGAGAUGGGGGGGUCAGCCCCCCCACCCGGCCAGCCGCCCCGUCCGGGAGGGAGGUGGGGGGGUAAGCCCCCCGCCUGGCCAGCCGCCCCGUCAGGAAGGGAGGUGGGGGGGUCAGCCCUCCGCCCGGCCAGCCGCCCCGUCCGGGAGGUGAGGGGCGCCUCUGCCCGGCCGCCCCUACUGGGAAGUGAGGAGCCCCUCUGCCCGGCCAGCCGCCCCGUCCGGGAGGGAGGUGGGGGGGGUCAGCCCCCCGCCCGGCCGGCCGCCCUGUCCGGGAGGGAGGUGGGGGGGGUCAGCCCCCCGCCUGGCCAGCCGCCCUGUCCGGGAGGGAGGUGGGGGGGGGUCAGCCCUCCGCCCGGCCAGCCGCCCCGUCUGGGAGGUGAGGGGCGCCGCUGCCCGGCCGCCCCUACUGGGAAGUGAGGAGCCCCUCUGCCCGGCCAGCCGCCCCGUCCGGGAGGGAGGUGGGGGGGGUCAGCCCCCCGCCCGGCCGGCCGCCCUGUCCGGGAGGGAGGUGGGGGGGUCAGCCCUCCGCCCGGCCAGCCGCCCCGUCCGGGAGGUGAGGGGCGCCUCUGCCCGGCCGCCCCUACUGGGAAGUGAGGAGCCCCUCUGCCCGGCCAGCCGCCCCGUCCCGGAGGGAGGUGGGGGGGGUCAGCCCCCCUGCCCGGCCAGCCGCCCCGUCCGGGAGGUGAGGGGCGCCUCUGCCCGGCCGCCCCUACUGGGAAGUGAGGAGCCCCUCUGCCCGGCCACCACCCCGUCUGGGAGGUGUGCCCAACAGCUCAUUGAGAACGGGCCAGGAUGACAAUGGCGGCUUUGUGGAAUAGAAAGGCAGGAAAGGUGGGGAAAAGAUUGAGAAAUCGGAUGGUUGCCGUGUCUGUGUAGAAAGAAGUAGACAUGGGAGACUUUUCAUUUUGUUCUGCACUAAGAAAAAUUCCUCUGCCUUGGGAUCCUGUUGAUCUGUGACCUUACCCCCAACCCUGUGCUCUCUGAAACAUGUGCUGUGUCCACUCAGGGUUAAAUGGAUUAAGGGCGGUGCAAGAUGUGCUUUGUUAAACAGAUGCUUGAAGGCAGCAUGCUCGUUAAGAAUCAUCACCAAUCCCUAAUCUCAAGUAAUCAGGGACACAAACACUGCGGAAGGCCGCAGGGUCCUCUGCCUAGGAAAACCAGAGACCUUUGUUCACUUGUUUAUCUGCUGACCUUCCCUCCACUAUUGUCCCAUGACCCUGCCAAAUCCCCCUCUGUGAGAAACACCCAAGAAUUAUCAAUAAAAAAAUAAAUUUAAAAAAAAAAAAAAAGAAUACAAAAUAUAGCCCCUGACAACACAAAAUGUAUAAUGUCUGUCUUCAAAUAAAAAAUAACAGACAUCAA
rnacentral:lncRNA from 1 species